GCGUGGAGCCGACCUUGAAAUACCACCCUUUAAUGUUUGAUGUUCUAACGUGGACCCGUAAUCCGGGUUGCGGACAGUGUCUGGUGGGUAGUUUGACUGGGGCGGUCUCCUCCUAAAGAGUAACGGAGGAGCACGAAGGUUGGCUAAUCCUGGUCGGACAUCAGGAGGUUAGUGCAAUGGCAUAAGCCAGCUUGACUGCGAGCGUGACGGCGCGAGCAGGUGCGAAAGCAGGUCAUAGUGAUCCGGUGGUUCUGAAUGGAAGGGCCAUCGCUCAACGGAUAAAAGGUACUCCGGGGAUAACAGGCUGAUACCGCCCAAGAGUUCAUAUCGACGGCGGUGUUUGGCACCUCGAUGUCGGCUCAUCACAUCCUGGGGCUGAAGUAGGUCCCAAGGGUAUGGCUGUUCGCCAUUUAAAGUGGUACGCGAGCUGGGUUUAGAACGUCGUGAGACAGUUCGGUCCCUAUCUGCCGUGGGCGCUGGAGAACUGAGGGGGGCUGCUCCUAGUACGAGAGGACCGGAGUGGACGCAUCACUGGUGUUCGGGUUGUCAUGCCAAUGGCACUGCCCGGUAGCUAAAUGCGGAAGAGAUAAGUGCUGAAAGCAUCUAAGCACGAAACUUGCCCCGA
rnacentral:rRNA from 1 species